CCUUACUACUUUUACUUUAUACUACUUAUAGAAAGUAGAAAAUCUAAUCUGAAAAGUGAAAAUAAUUCAUCUUCCUCAAUUUAUUCUUCCAAGUUUUAUAUUAGUUCGAUACUACCAAGUUCCUUUCAGGUUUUUUCAUUCUUCAUUCUUCCGAGCAGGUUCAACUAAUUCAGACGAGCAGCCAGUUCAGAAGACCAGCCGCCAGCGAGUUCAUAGUCUUUAGGUUGCCAGCAACCGGCGACCGACGACCAGCGAUCGAGGGCCAGCCGACCACCAAUCAGAUUGGAAACGUUCCGAAACUUUACAAAAAGGGAAGGAACUAUCUUGAAGAUUCGUGUCACGAGGUUCGGCUCUUAAGAUUCGAUACCAAGUAGGAGCACAUCUUGUGGAGCAAAUUGAGUCCGAGCUUGAAAUUCUUGGAGUUGUGUGUUACUUGAUUAGAAUUUGACUUUUGAGGAAGAGCCGACGAGUUCAUAGUCUUCAGACGGCCAGCAACCGGUGACCGGCGACCAGCGAUCGAGGGCCAGCCGACCACCAAUCAGAUUCAAUUCCGAGUAGGAGGACAUCUGGUGGGGCAAAUUGAAUCCGAGCUUGAAGUUCUUGGAGUUGUGACGCAUGUAACUAGGAUCGACAUUUGGCGCACCGUUGAUCCAGUGAGCAGCUCAGAGUCAGUUGGUGAGCCUCUCUUCAUUACGGAGGACAUCUUUAACAUUCAAUUAUUUUUCUUUCAACUUUCAGUUGUUAGGAUGAUUGGGGGUCCUGUCCCAACAUCCAUCUUUACUUUAGAGGAUUCAUAGACAACUUUUGUCUUAUUCAUUUCAGUUGUAUACAUUUAAUACUUAGCUUGCCGUUUUGGCUAACUUAAUACUUUAAACUUAUUCUGUUA